GUCGCCUCCAAACGGGGCCAACCGACGCACACAAAACACCAGCCUGGCUUUUCCACACGGCAAAAAAUGAGUAAAAAAGUUCAUUAACGAGGCAAAACGUACUACACCCCCGUCGGAGCGGGGGGAAAGACAAGCGGUGCCCUGUGAGUGACUGACGACCAGCCCAGAAUGGAACAGGAUAUCGAAAAUAUGGAUGGACAUAAUUGACCAGCAAAGAUGGAACGACCGAUAAUGGCAUUCCUGGCUGGUAUUGGCUCCCCUUGUUCAUCAUCCCGCCAUCAUAACCCUGUUGGCCAACCAUGCGAUGAGGGGUCGUGGCCGAGGAAGAGGACGAAGAAGUGACGAUCAUGCUUUUACCUUCUUCAUGAGGUUGUCGGGUGGGACGUCCCUCCUGCCAAGUGAGUAAGGAACCCACUGAUUGCUCCCUGACACACCCUCUUGGUCAUUAUCCAGCAUGGCAGCUUGCUGAGAGGGGGUCUAGAAGACAGGAUAAGGGA